GACAGAGGGUGCAAACGUGGCUCGGAUUUACUGGGCGUAAAGCGCAUGUAGGCGGGCGAUUAAGUCGGGUGUGAAAUCCCUGGGCUCAACCUAGGAACUGCAUCCGAAACUGAUCACCUUGAGUAGUGGAGAGGAAAGCGGAAUUCCGGGUGUAGAGGUGAAAUUCGUAGAUAUCCGGAGGAACACCAGUGGCGAAGGCGGCUUUCUGGACACUAACUGACGCUGAGAUGCGAAAGCGUGGGGAGCAAACAGG
rnacentral:rRNA from 1 species